GGAGAGGGCUGGGGGGGCGGCAAAGAAAAAUGGUGCGCUAUCAACAAGUUGAAUGCGAAGGCAACAAAGAGCGAGAGAAAACGAAUGGAAAAACUACAAAAGACAACAAUCAGCAAAGACAGAGACAGAUACAGAGAGAGAGAGCGAGAGAGAGUGGGGUACGAGAGCGGGCCACUGAGAGGGAGAGUAGAGUAGGCAAAGCAAAAGUUCAUUAGUCGCUCGCGAUAAACUACAAAACAAAAAAAAAAACGGCAAAAGAAAAGAAACAAAAAACAAAAGAGCGGACACACUAACACACUUGCAGGGACGCUCCACACAAAAAGCACUCGAGCAAAAGCACUCCAUUGCAUAUUUUGAGUGGCGUUUUUUCGCUUUGUUUAUUUUAGGCGAAUUCGCCGCGAGGGCAGCUCAGCUCUGCCUGUCCGUUCAUGUCGGUGUUCUCGGCGCUCCCACACGACGCCCCCUCCUCCGUCUGCUCGCUGCCCGAUAAAACAGAAGUCGCUCAUUUUUGAGUGUAAAUAUGAACCCCCAGAGAGAGCAGAGCCAGCUUCGGCUGACUUCGGCUGCGGCGAAAAAGGCGAGAAGCGGACCGGUUUUUCCAUCGCAUCGCUCAUACGUUGCUCAGAAUCAUCAAAACGACUUUUCAAAUUUCAAAACAUUUUCAUUUCCCAGCCGCCCCGUUAGCAUCGCGUUCGUACGAAGUGCCGCGCCGCGCGUCUGUGGCACACGUCUGUUGAUCGUCGACGGGAACGGAACGCCACACUGCCACUGCCGCACAAAAGCAGCCCGAAAAGCAAUUCAAAUUCAAUUCGAAAAUAAAAACCUUAAAAAACACCAACCUCAAAUUGAUUUCGUGUUCGGGCCAGAGUUUUGUACCCAGUGCGUGUGUAAAAAUAUAUUCACAACAAAAGUAAAAAGUAAAAGAAUUUACAGAAACGAGGAGAGGAGGAGGCAAUGAAACGUUUUUCUGUGCGAUCCAACGGUCGGUCGCGUGCUCAAUUCUCCUGCUUCUGCUUCUGCUUCUCGUCGCUCUUCGCUCUGUUCUGCUCUGCUCCGUCCGCUCUGUCGGGAGGAAGCAUUCGUGUGUGUUCGUGUUUGUGUGUGUCCCCAAGGUGUGAAAAAAGUAUAUACAUAAUAGAUCUGGUGGUACGUACACCCCUAUGGCCACCGCUGUCUGCCAUAUAAUAGCGGUGUUUCGAGUGUUCGAGUGCUCGUGUUACAAUUAGCAACAAAAAUUCAACAAAUUCAACAAAUCCAAAUAAAAAAGGCGUAAAAUUAUGCCCCACAGCAAAACGCUAAUUGGAAAAGUCAAGAAAACUAAACCAGAAAAGUCUUCCCCUUUGUCUCUCCGUCUCUCCAUUGAAUAACUGAAUAAUUUGUCAAGUAAAUAAACACAAUAAAAACAAAAACAA